rnacentral:rRNA from 1 species
AGUAACGCGUGGGUAACCUGCCUCGUACAGGGGGAUAACAGUUAGAAAUGACUGCUAAUACCGCAUGAGCGCACAGUGCUGCAUGGCACAGUGUGAAAAACUCCGGUGGUAUGAGAUGGACCCGCGUCUGAUUAGCUAGUUGGUGGGGUAACGGCCUACCAGGCGACGAUCAGUAGCCGGCCUGAGAGGGUGAACGGCCACAUUGGGACUGAGACACGGCCCAA